GUGCCAGCAGCCGCGGUAAUACGUAGGGUCCAAGCGUUGUCCGGAUUUAUUGGGCGUAAAGAGCUCGUAGGCGGUUUCGUAAGUCGGAUGUGAAAACUCAGGGCUCAACCCGGAGACGCCAUCUGAUACUGCGAUGACUGGAGUCUGGUAGGGGAUCACGGAAUACCUGGUGUAGCGGUGAAAUGCGCAGAUAUCAGGUGGAACACCGAUGGCGAAGGCAGUGAUCUGGGCCAGUACUGACGCUGAGGAGCGAAAGCGUGGGGAGCAAACAGGAUUAGAUACCCUUGUAGUCC
rnacentral:rRNA from 1 species